GCUCCACGAUACUAGCGGGGGCUUUAAGAUAAUGCACUGAAAAAAUAAUAAUACUAGCUCAUCGGCAGAGUACAGAAAACUGCUCCGGCAACACCGAACACUCUGCGUUGCCUAUUCUCUGGCAACAUGGGAAGCGCUGGCAGCACGGGGCCUGUGUGUCCUCGGGGAGCACCCCGAGGGAAGUCUCAGAAGUUUCUAAUGAAGCAUCCCCUCACUCCCACCAUACUGCUACCCAUGGAGAGAACUUAUGGCUUGGGAUUGCUGGUGCAACGUACAGCAGCUGCACAACAAGGUGGGUGAGAAGAGAUUAGACAGAGAAUCCAGGAGGUAAAAUUUUAGUUCCAGCUGAGCCCUUGAAUCUUUGUGGAUAUUUAUUAUUUGAUUAAACAUAACUUACCUUUUUUCUGACUAAAAAUGAUACAUAUUUGCUGAGUGAAGUGGUUCAUGCCUGUAAUCCCAGCACUCUGAGAGGCUGAGGUAGGAUGAUUGCUUGAGCCCAUGAGUUUGAGACCAGCCUGGGCAAUGUAGUAAGACCCUGUCUCUACAAAAAUAUUAAAAAUCAGCUGAGUGUGGUGGCAUAUGCCUGUGGUUCCAGUUACUCAGGAGACUGAGACUAAAGGAUAGCUUGAACCCAGGAGUUUGAGGCUACAGUGAACUGUGAUCAUGCCGCUACACUCCAGCCUGAAUGACAAAGCAAGAUCCUUUCUCAAAAAAAAAAAAAGAAAAAAAGAUAUGUGUUUAUUAUCAAACAUAAUAAUCCAGAAAAGUAUAAAGCAUAAAAUAAAAACCCAAUUUCCCACUACCCACACGUGACCCACUGGGUCUAAUGUUAACAUUGUAUUAAAUGUAUUUCUGGACAGCUUUCUCCAUAAUAUGCAUAUAAGUACACAAGUAAUAUGCCAUUUAUAUCAGUUGAAUCAUACUAUACAUACUAUACAUGACACUUACUUUUUUUUUUUUUUUUUGGAGACAGAGUUUUGCUCUUGUUGCCCAGGAUGGAAUGCAAUGGUGAGAUCUCAGUUCACCACAACCUCUGCUUCCCA
rnacentral:lncRNA from 1 species